UACGUAGGGUGCGAGCGUUAAUCGGAAUUACUGGGCGUAGAGCGUGCGCAGGCGGUAAGUUAAGUCUGAUGUGAAAGCCCCGGGCUCAACCUGGGAAUGGCAUUGGAAACUGGCUUGCUGGAGUGUGGCAGAGGGGGGUGGAAUUCCGCGUGUAGCAGUGAAAUGCGUAGAGAUGCGGAGGAACACCGAUGGCGAAGGCAGCCCCCUGGGCCAACACUGACGCUCAGGCACGAAAGCGUGGGGAGCAAACAGG
rnacentral:rRNA from 1 species